rnacentral:ncRNA from 1 species
CGGAAGGUGCCGGACAAAUGUCCGGAGAAUAGGGAAGCAGGUGAAAAACCUGCGCGAUCUCGUCACCGUAAGUCGAGAGCGAUGGCUCAUGAACCACUGGGAAACCGGGAAGGGAGCACAGCAACAGAUCGACCAGCCGGGAGACCUGCCUUUCGCA